rnacentral:rRNA from 1 species
GAUGAACGCUGGCGGCGUGCCUAAUACAUGCAAGUCGAGCGAACAGACGAGGAGCUUGCUCCUCUGACGUUAGCGGCGGACGGGUGAGUAACACGUGGAUAACCUACCUAUAAGACUGGGAUAACUUCGGGAAACCGGAGCUAAUACCGGAUAAUAUAUUGAACCGCAUGGUUCAAUAGUGAAAGACGGUUUUGCUGUCACUUAUCGAUGGAUCCGCGCCGCAUUAGCUAGUUGGUAAGGUAACGGCUUACCAAGGCAACGAUGCGUAGCCGACCUGAGAGGGUGAUCGGCCACACUGGAACUGAGACACGGUCCAGACUCCUACGGGAGGCAGCAGUAGGGAAUCUUCCGCAAUGGGCGAAAGCCUGACGGAGCAACGCCGCGUGAGUGAUGAAGGUCUUCGGAUCGUAAAACUCUGUUAUUAGGGAAGAACAGAUGUGUAAGUAACUAUGUACGUCUUGACGGUACCUAAUCAGAAAGCCACGGCUAACUACGUG